rnacentral:rRNA from 1 species
UCGGGAAUUUUGGGCAAUGGGGGAAACCCUGACCCAGCAACGCCGCGUGAAGGAUGAAGUAUUUCGGUAUGUAAACUUCGAAAGAAUAGGAAGAAUAAAUGACGGUACUAUUUAUAAGGUCCGGCUAACUACGUGCCAGCAGCCGCGGUAAUACGUAGGGACCAAGCGUUGUUCGGAUUUACUGGGCGUAAAGGGCGCGUAGGCGGCAUGACAAGUCACUUGUGAAAUCUCUGGGCUUAACCCAGAACGGCCAAGUGAUACUGUCGCGCUAGAGUGCAGAAGGGGCAAUCGGAAUUCUUGGUGUAGCGGUGAAAUGCGUAGAUAUCAAGAGGAACACCUGAGGUGAAGACGGGUUGCUGGGCUGAUACUGACGCUGAGGCGCGAAAGCUAGGGUAGCAAACGGGAUUAGAUACCCCCGUAGUCCCUGAGCGGGCUGGCAAGGCGCAU